rnacentral:rRNA from 1 species
AUGGCGCGCAGCAGCAACUUGGCGGCCAUGACGCGGGGACCUGCCGACGAUGGCGCGGCACACGGGGCGGCGCCGGCGCGGUGGAGCGACUGGAGGCAGUGCCCGCCGUGGCACGCCAACUCGCCGGAGAACGUCGUGCCGGAGAACCUGCCCCGGCCGUCCGCGCGCGGCGUAGGGGCCGCCGACAAGGCGUAUGCUCCAGCGCCCGCGGCGUCGCCCGACGCUGUGCUCCCGGUCGUGGCGCUCCACUCUGGCAUGGGCUGCUUCUCCCUCUAA